GGAUGUAGCUCAGUGGUAGAGUGUUCGCCUGGCAUGUGUGAGGCACUGGGUUCGAUCCUCAGCACCA
rnacentral:tRNA from 1 species